GCCAGCUCCUUUGUACUAAUUUCACUAAGCAAUAAUCCAAUUUCAUUCUAUUUUCUCUACUCGAUUUCUUCCACAAUAUGGUAUCAGGAUGGGAUAACUAGGCUUUCCCUUUGAUCCCUCCUCCUGCUCAUCUUAUUCUUCCUCUCCAGCAAGCAGUGUCUUCCAUUCCAACUUCGGCUUCGUAUCUUCCCAAAAUGAAAAUCCAUUGUCUUUUUUGACGGAAUCGCAAGCCAUAGUCACGGGAAAUUCGCCUUCCCAAAUGAAUCCUCCAGUAUUAAAUGCAAGAAUGAUGAUUGAAGACCCUUUGGAUCCUUGUUACUUUCAUCAUGCGGAUAAUAUAGGGAAUGUCUUGGUGUCGCAGCUCCUCACUAGCCAAGACAAUUACACAUCUUGGAGUAGAGCCAUGAAACUCCAUCUUUGUGAAGAACAAAUUGGGUUUUCUUGAUGGGUCCAUUCCUAAACCUUCUCCUUCUAAUUCUUUAUUGUAUAAUGCUUGAUUUCGUAACAAUAACAUUGUUAUUACUUGGAUCUUGAAUUUGAUUUCUAAGGAAAUUUUUGGUAGAA